rnacentral:ncRNA from 1 species
AUAAACGUAUCGAAAAGCAGAGUAGCAAUUGGCGCGGUUAAGAGAGUUUCCGGGAGGUGCAAGGAAAUCCGUUAAGAUGGUGAAGAUGGGCUUGGAGUGGCACUGGCGAAUGGUUCAGUCAGUGACGGGGUUGCGCUCGUUAUUUCCGCAAGGUGAUUCGAUGGAGUCACCUAAUGAGGUUAAAGUUGUGAGACUUUAACGAAUUUAAAGGUGGUAACACGUGGAAACGUCCUUUUA